CAGGCUUAACACAUGCAAGUCGAGGGGCAGCAUGGUCUUAUCUUGCUAAGGCCGAUGGCGACCGGCGCACGGGUGAGUAACACGUAUCCAACCUGCCGUCUACUCUUGGACAGCCUUCUGAAAGGAAGAUUAAUACAAGAUGGCAUCAUGAGUCCGCAUGUUCACAUGAUUAAAGGUAUUCCGGUAGACGAUGGGGAUGCGUUCCAUUAGAUAGUAGGCGGGGUAACGGCCCACCUAGUCUUCGAUGGAUAGGGGUUCUGAGAGGAAGGUCCCCCACAUUGGAACUGAGACACGGUCCAAACUCCUACGGGAGGCAGCAGUGAGGAAUAUUGGUCAAUGGGCGAGAGCCUGAACCAGCCAAGUAGCGUGAAGGAUGACUGCCCUAUGGGUUGUAAACUUCUUUUAUAAAGGAAUAAAGUCGGGUAUGGAUACCCGUUUGCAUGUACUUUAUGAAUAAGGAUCGGCUAACUCCGUGCCAGCAGCCGCGGUAAUACGGAGGAUCCGAGCGUUAUCCGGAUUUAUUGGGUUUAAAGGGAGCGUAGAUGGAUGUUUAAGUCAGUUGUGAAAGUUUGCGGCUCAACCGUAAAAUUGCAGUUGAUACUGGAUAUCUUGAGUGCAGUUGAGGCAGGCGGAAUUCGUGGUGUAGCGGUGAAAUGCUUAGAUAUCACGAAGAACUCCGAUUGCGAAGGCAGCCUGCUAAGCUGCAACUGACAUUGAGGCUCGAAAGUGUGGGUAUCAAACAGGAUUAGAUACCCUGGUAGUCCACACGGUAAACGAUGAAUACUCGCUGUUUGCGAUAUACUGCAAGCGGCCAAGCGAAAGCGUUAAGUAUUCCACCUGGGGAGUACGCCGGCAACGGUGAAACUCAAAGGAAUUGACGGGGGCCCGCACAAGCGGAGGAACAUGUGGUUUAAUUCGAUGAUACGCGAGGAACCUUACCCGGGCUUAAAUUGCAGAUGAAUUACGGUGAAAGCCGUAAGCCGCAAGGCAUCUGUGAAGGUGCUGCAUGGUUGUCGUCAGCUCGUGCCGUGAGGUGUCGGCUUAAGUGCCAUAACGAGCGCAACCCUUGUUGUCAGUUACUAACAGGUUCCGCUGAGGACUCUGACAAGACUGCCAUCGUAAGAUGUGAGGAAGGUGGGGAUGACGUCAAAUCAGCACGGCCCUUACGUCCGGGGCUACACACGUGUUACAAUGGGGGGUACAGAGGGCCGCUACCACGCGAGUGGAUGCCAAUCCCCAAAACCUCUCUCAGUUCGGACUGGAGUCUGCAACCCGACUCCACGAAGCUGGAUUCGCUAGUAAUCGCGCAUCAGCCACGGCGCGGUGAAUACGUUCCCGGGCCUUGUACACACCGCCCGUCAAGCCAUGGGAGCCGGGGGUACCUGAAGUGCGUAACCGCGAGGAGCGCCCUAGGGUAAAACUGGUGACUGGGGC
rnacentral:rRNA from 1 species